rnacentral:rRNA from 1 species
UACAGAGGGGGCAAGCGUUGUUCGGAUUUACUGGGCGUAAAGGGCGCGUAGGCGGCCACCGCAAGUCGACUGUGAAAUCUCCGGGCUUAACCCGGAACGGUCAGCCGAUACUGCGGGGCUAGAGUGCAGAAGGGGCAACUGGAAUUCUCGGUGUAGCGGUGAAAUGCGUAGAUAUCGAGAGGAACACCUGCGGCGAAGGCGGGUUGCUGGGCUGACACUGACGCUGAUGCGCGAAAGCGUAGGGGAGCGAACGGG